UACGGGGGGGGCAAGCGUUGUUCGGAAUUACUGGGCGUAAAGGGCGAGUAGGUGGCCAUCUAAGUCAGACGUGAAAUCCCCCGGCUUAACCUGGGAACUGCGUCUGAUACUGGACGGCUUGAGUAUGGGAGAGGAAUGUAGAAUUCCUGGUGUAGCGGUGGAAUGCGCAGAUAUCAGGAGGAACACCAACGGCGAAGGCAGCUCGCUGGGACGGUACUGACACUAAGGCGCGAAAGCGUGGGGAGCGAACAGG
rnacentral:rRNA from 1 species